rnacentral:rRNA from 1 species
UCCGGUUGAUCCUGCCGGAGGCCACUGCUAUGGGGGUCCGACUAAGCCAUGCGAGUCAUGGGGCGCCUUGCGCGCACCGGCGGACGGCUCAGUAACACGUCGGUAACCUACCCUCGGGAGGGGGAUAACCCCGGGAAACUGGGGCUAAUCCCCCGUAGGCCUGAGGUACUGGAAGGUCCUCAGGCCGAAAGGGUCUUUGACCGCCCGAGGAUGGGCCGGCGGCCGAUUAGGUAGUUGGUGGGGUAACGGCCCACCAAGCCGAAGAUCGGUACGGGCCAUGAGAGUGGGAGCCCGGAGAUGGACACUGAGACACGGGUCCAGGCCCUACGGGGCGCAGCAGGCGCGAAACCUCCGCAAUGCUCGAAAGAGCGACGGGGGGACCCCCAGUGCCGUGGCAUCGCCACGGCUUUUCCGGAGUGUAAAGAGCUCCGGGAAUAAGGGCUGGGCAAGGCCGGUGGCAGCCGCCGCGGUAAUACCGGCGGCCCGAGUGGUGGCCGCUAUUAUUGGGCCUAAAGCGUCCGUAGCCGGGCCAGUAAGUCCCUGGCGAAAUCCCACGGCUCAACCGUGGGGCUUGCUGGGGAUACUGCUGGCCUUGGGACCGGGAGAGGCGGAGGGUACUCCUGGGGUAGGGGUGAAAUCCUAUAAUCC